rnacentral:rRNA from 1 species
GAUGAACGCUGGCGGCGUGCUUAACACAUGCAAGUCGAACGAAGCAUUUGCGACAGAUUUUUUCGGAAUGAAGUUGCUUAUGACUGAGUGGCGGACGGGUGAGUAACGCGUGGGUAACCUGCCUUGUACUGGGGGAUAGCAGCUGGAAACGGCUGGUAAUACCGCAUAAGCGCACAAUGUUGCAUGACAUGGUGUGAAAAACUCCGGUGGUAUAAGAUGGACCCGCGUCUGAUUAGCUAGUUGGUGAGAUAACAACCCACCAAGGCGACGAUCAGUAGCCGACCUGAGAGGGGGACCGGCCACAUUGGGACUGAGACACGGCCCAGACUCCUACGGGAGGCAGCAGUGGGGAAUAUUGCACAAUGGAGGAAACUCUGAUGCAGCGACGCCGCGUGAGUGAAGAAGUAAUUCGUUAUGUAAAGCUCUAUCAGCAGGGAAGAUAGUGACGGUACCUGACUAAGAAGCUCCGGCUAAAUACGUG